rnacentral:misc_RNA from 1 species
GGAUAGUUACGGUGGUGGGUGUCUUUUUGAUGAGUUAACAGCGGCAGCUGGUGAGUGGUUGAUGCCUAAUAAUAGUAGCUUUGGGCAAGGAUUGUUAUGGAAUUAUUAGAAUAUUUUUGUUCUACUUGUGAAUAAUGUAAUUUUGUGUAUGUGCGUGUGCAUGUGUUGUUUCUUCUUUUUAUUUUUCCUGUAAUCUAAAAAAGAUUUUAGCCCUUUCUGUUUUUCUUCAAAGGGCAAAACCUUUCUUUUCUUUUUUGGGUUUUUGUCUGUCUCAGCUGUGUUUAUGUGACAUUGUGACCUCUUCGAUCCAUCUAAGUGUUGGGAAAGAGGCAAAAUGCCAUAAAAUUUUCUUUUCUUUGGUUGGUGGAAGCUUAUUGUAUCUCUUUCUGUCUCUUUCUCACUGUGAAAUCAAGAAACAGCUUCAAG